rfam:Helianthus annuus linkage group 1, whole genome shotgun sequence.
GUCCCUUCGGGGACAUCCGAUAAAAUUGGAAUGAUACAGAGAAGAUUAGCAUGACCCCUGCGCAAGCACAAAUCGAGAAAUGGUCCAAAUUUUU